UAAAACGUAGGAGGCGAGCGUUAUCCGGAUUUACUGGGUGUAAAGCGCGUGCAGGCGGAUCGGAAAGUUGGAUGUGAAAGCUCCCGGCUUAACUGGGAGAGGUCGUUCAAAACUACCGGUCUUGAGUACAGUAGAGGGAAGUGGAAUUCCGGGUGUAGUGGUGAAAUGCGUAGAUAUCCGGAGGAACACCAGUGGCGAAAGCGGCUUUCUGGACUGUAACUGACGCUCAGACGCGAAAGCUAGGGUAGCAAACGGG
rnacentral:rRNA from 1 species